rnacentral:rRNA from 1 species
UACGAAGGGGGCUAGCGUUGUUCGGAUUUACUGGGCGUAAGACGCACGUAGGCGGAUUGUUAAGUCGGGGGUGAAAUCCUGGAGCUCAACUCCAGAACUGCCUUCGAUACUGGCAAUCUCGAGUCCGGAAGAGGUAAGUGGAACUCCUAGUGUAGAGGUGGAAUUCGUAGAUAUUAGGAAGAACACCAGUGGCGAAGGCGGCUUACUGGUCCGGUACUGACGCUGAGGUGCGAAAGCGUGGGGAGCAAACAGG